rnacentral:lncRNA from 1 species
AACUGAACUCUGGAUCUUGACAAGAGCAGCAAGGGUUCUUAACCAUUGAGCUGCCUCUCUGGCUCUAGGGUCUAAGUUUUUUUAAUAUAACAUUUUAAUUCCACUAAAUGUUAUCCCUUACUUCUUUUCUUUCUUUUCUUUUUCUUUCUUUUUUUUUUAAUCAGGGGAGAGCGCGAACGCAGUCCCCCACUACCACGAAUUAUGCAGUCGAGUUUCCCGCAUUUGGGGAAAUCACAGGGGUCAGCACAUCCGGAGUGCAAUGGAUAAGCCUCGCCCUGGGAAAACCACCUUCGUGAUCAUAGUAUCUCCCCUGCCAGUUGGGGAUCCAGACUAUAGAAUGCUGCCACUCACAUAGGUGGGCGGAUCCUUCAACCUCAAUCAACCCAGCCUAGAAACUCUGUCAAAUUGAUACUCAAGAUCACUAUCUUUAAAUAUCACUGAAAGCAUUCCUCAAGAUGCUUUGAACAUCAAGACACAGCUACAAACUAAGGAUGCACGCCUAAUCAUAUUUCAUGCAAAUCCCAACAAUGAACCAAGAUAGCUCAUUUAUCUAAGUAUAAUGUUAGCAGUAUAAAAAUUCUAGAAGAAAAAUUUAUGAACACAGAGUGAGCAAACAUUUCUCAGCUCGCACUGUAAAGGUACAAAACGCAGUGAAAAUAUCACAGGAGACGGCAUUGAAAUGGAAAACUUUUGCUCAUAGAAGAGUAUGUUAAG